AAAAACAAAAAUAUCAUAAAGUUCGCAGGCAAAUGGAUGGAACUAACCCAGACCCAGAAAGACACACAUGGUGCAGACCCCUCUGCUUUAGUACAAGAAGCUUCUCUCUGUGCCCUGAGACAAGAAAAAACAGAAAAAAGAAUGGACUUGGAACAGCUGCCCACUGUUUCCAGGGAGCAUCACUGUGUCCUGUUGGCCUGGAGAAAUGCUCGAAACACUGAACUCAAACUUUGAAGUAUGUUUGCUAUUGCCAAAUGCUCACUGCUCUUGUACGAGGUUGAAGGUAGCAAGUCAUAAGUCAUA